CUGGCAGGACAGGGACCACCGACAACCAGCCGCAAUCAUCAGCGAUCACUCCGUGCUAGUGGUAUUACACCACAUCUUCAGUGUGUCGACUUGAAAGUUACUGGUUUUUUCUAUUCGAUUAAAUCUGGGCAUGAAUUCCUUGCUGAAGCACAGAACAAGGAUGCUAACUUUGGUGACUCUGGUGGAGGAGUGGUGUUCAACAAGAAGAUUGUUGGUCUGAUUUCUCGCAGAGGAAAGAAGUAUGCAUUUCGGAAUCCAAUUUUUAGCAUGGAUGUGUGUGAUUACUUGGAGUGGAUAAGAAACACAACUGGGCUUAAUAAGCCUAAAAUAUCAUGAAAUAACAUUUCACCAAAUUUCCUCUCACAUGUAAUUUUAUUUUUACAUCUCCAUCAGUUUGUUCUAGAGGUUUGUAGAAUUGUCAUAAAUUAAAAGUUUUUUUUUUCUCACCUGACCUUGACCUCCCUAAUGGAGCUUUCUCUGCCUCAGAAAUGAAAAAAUAAAACAAU